rnacentral:tRNA from 1 species
GCCGAGGUAGCUAAGCCCGGUUCAAGGCGAUGGCCUCGAGAGCCAUUGGUGCUCUGCACCGCGGGAGUUCGAAUCUCCCCCUCGGCG